rnacentral:rRNA from 1 species
UACGUAGGGGGCAAGCGUUGUCCGGAAUCAUUGGGCGUAAAGCGCGUGUAGGCGGUUCGGUAAGUCGGAUGUGAAAACUUGGGGCUCAACUCCAAGCUUGCAUUCGAUACGGGCAGGCUAGAGUUCGGUAGGGGAGACUGGAAUUCCUGGUGUAGCGGUGAAAUGCGCAGAUAUCGGGAAGAACACCUAUGGCGAAGGCAGCUCUCUGGGACGGUACUGACGCUGAGACGCGAAAGCGUGGGGAGCGAACAGG